rnacentral:rRNA from 1 species
AUGCCUUGCAAAACCCGGUGGUGCAGUCCGGCGGCUACUAGCGCCCGCACGGCUGGCUCGCAGAUCCUCAGGUGCCUAGCUUCCAGCACAUCAGCUCUCGAUGUGGCGUGGAGUCAAUCCGACAAACACGAAGACAGCGGACACUCGCACGCGAUCGGCCGGCUGGAGGUAAGCAUUAGGCCUAUAGCAGAGAUGCGCACCCGACGCCCUAUCCUCGCGGUGUACUCCCUUCCCUACCGUGAACCCAGUUUACCCUUGUCGAAAAAAAGGAGAACACUUUACCCUUGUCGUUUGCGCACCGGAGAUUGGAAGUAG